UCAAGAAGAAGGAACUUUUUCCCCACCGCCAGCACCCAAAGCUGGUAUUCUAGUUAAACUACUUCUUG
rnacentral:tRNA from 2 species